AGUGAACGCUGGCGGCAUGCCUAACACAUGCAAGUCGAACGGCAGCACAGCAGUAGCAAUACUGUGGGUGGCGAGUGGCGGGACGGGUGAGGAACACAUCGGAAUUUGCCCAGUCGUGGGGGAUAACGUAGGGGAAACUUACGCUAAUACCGCAUACGACCUUACGGUGAAAGCGGGGGAUCGCAAGACCUCGCGCGGAUGGAUGAGCCGAUGUCGGAUUAGCUAGUUGGUGGGGGUAAAGGCCUACCAAGGCGACGAUCCGUAGCUGGUCUGAGAGGAUGAUCAGCCACACUGGGACUGAGACACGGCCCAGACUCCUACGGGAGGCAGCAUGGGGGAAUAUUGGACAAUGGGGGGCAACCCUGAUCCAGCAAUGCCGCGUGUGUGAAGAAGGCCUCGG
rnacentral:rRNA from 1 species